AUGACAGCCCUGGGAACUGAAGUCCUUUGUCUAGCCACAGAAUGGAUACAACAUGCAGGCUCCCCCAUUCUGCCCUGCCAUGGUGUGUCUUGCCUCACCCCGAUGGGUAAGCACUAGGGGGGGGGGAUCCACUCUGCAUGACUCAUUCAACUUUUUGCUUUG
rnacentral:sRNA from 1 species